UGGGGAAUUUUGGACAAUGGGGGCAACCCUGAUCCAGCCAUUCCGCGUGAGUGAAGAAGGCCUUCGGGUUGUAAAGCUCUUUCAGCUGGAACGAAACGGUGCGCUCUAACAUAGCGCGCUACUGACGGUACCAGCAGAAGAAGCACCGGCUAACUACGUGCCAGCAGCCGCGGUAAUACGUAGGGUGCGAGCGUUAAUCGGAAUUACUGGGCGUAAAGCGUGCGCAGGCGGAUUGUUAAGCAAGACGUGAAAUCCCCGGGCUUAACCUGGGAAUGGCGUUUUGAACUGGCAGUCUAGACUGCGUCAGAGGGGGGUGGAAUUCCACGUGUAGCAGUGAAAUGCGUAGAGAUGUGGAGGAACACCGAUGGCGAAGGCAGCCCCCUGGGAUGACACUGACGCUCAUGUACGAAAGCGUGGGUAGCAAACA
rnacentral:rRNA from 1 species